AUUGAACGCUGGCGGCAUCCUUUACACANUGCAAGUCGAACGGCAGCGCGGGGCAACCUGGCGGCGAGUGGCGAACGGGUGAGUAAUAUAUCGGAACGUGCCCUGGAGUGGGGGAUAACGCAGCGAAAGUUGCGCUAAUACCGCAUACGAUCUAAGGAUGAAAGCAGGGGACCGCAAGGCCUUGUGCUCCUGGAGCGGCCGAUAUCUGAUUAGCUAGUUGGUGGGGUAAAGGCCUACCAAGGCAUCGAUCAGUAGCUGGUCUGAGAGGACGACCAGCCACACUGGAACUGAGACACGGUCCAGACUCCUACGGGAGGCAGCAGUGGGGAAUUUUGGACAAUGGGCGCAAGCCUGAUCCAGCAAUGCCGCGUGAGUGAAGAAGGCCUUCGGGUUGUAAAGCUCUUUUGUCAGGGAAGAAACGGUGUGGGCUAAUAUCCCGCACUAAUGACGGUACCUGAAGAAUAAGCACCGGCUAACUACGUGCCAGCAGCCGCGGUAAUACGUAGGGUGCAAGCGUUAAUCGGAAUUACUGGGCGUAAAGCGUGCGCAGGCGGUUUUGUAAGUCUGUCGUGAAAUCCCCGGGCUCAACCUGGGAAUUGCGAUGGAGACUGCAAGGCUAGAAUCUGGCAGAGGGGGGUAGAAUUCCACGUGUAGCAGUGAAAUGCGUAGAGAUGUGGAGGAACACCGAUGGCGAAGGCAGCCCCCUGGGUCAAGAUUGACGCUCAUGCACGAAAGCGUGGGGAGCAAACAGGAUUAGAUACCCUGGUAGUCCACGCCCUAAACGAUGUCUACUAGUUGUCGGGUUUUAAUUAACUUGGUAACGCAGCUAACGCGUGAAGUAGACCGCCUGG
rnacentral:rRNA from 1 species